rnacentral:rRNA from 1 species
AGUGAACGCUGGCGGUAGGCCUAACACAUGCAAGUCGAACGGCAGCACAGUAAGAGCUUGCUCUUACGGGUGGCGAGUGGCGGACGGGUGAGGAAUACAUCGGAAUCUACUUUUUCGUGGGGGAUAACGUAGGGAAACUUACGCUAAUACCGCAUACGACCUACGGGUGAAAGCAGGGGAUCUUCGGACCUUGUGCGAUUGAAUGAGCCGAUGUUGGAUUAGCUAGUUGGCGGGGUAAAGGCCCACCAAGGCGACGAUCCGUAGCUGGUCUGAGAGGAUGAUCAGCCACACUGGAACUGAGACACGGUCCAGACUCCUACGGGAGGCAGCAGUGGGGAAUAUUGGACAAUGGGCGCAAGCCUGAUCCAGCCAUACCGCGUGGGUGAAGAAGGCCUUCGGGUUGUAAAGCCCUUUUGUUGGGAAAGAAAAGCAGCAGGUUAAUACCCCGCUGUUCUGACGGUACCCAAAGAAUAAGCACCGGCUAACUUCGU